AUAGAGACUCAGAGCUGCAUAUCAAUAAGCGGAGGAAAAGAAACUAACAAGGAUUCCCUUAGUAACGGCGAGUGAAGCGGGAAGAGCUCAAAUUUGAAAUCUUCAAGGUUCUACCUUGACGAAUUGUAGUUUAUGGAAGUGUUUUCUGUUAGUAGAGUGGCAAAAGUUCUUUGGAAUAGGACAUCAUAGAGGGUGAGAAUCCCGUAUUUGGUCAUUCUUUCUAGCUUUGUGAUACACUUUCAACGAGUCGGAUUGUUUGGGAAUGCAGUCCGAAAUGGGUGGUAAAUUUCAUCUAAAGCUAAAUAUUGGCGAGAGACCGAUAGCGAACAAGUACCGUGAGGGAAAGAUGAAAAGAACUUUGAAAAGAGAGUUAAACAGUACGUGAAAUUGUCAAAAGGGAAGCGUUCGACACCAGUGUUGUUUUUCCGAAAAUCAAUUACGAAUGUUUUGUUUUUGAGAAGUUAUGACUUCAUCGGCUUGCUUCUCUCUUUACGAAACUUUCUUAAUGCACUUUUCGGUUAACAAGUCAACAUCAAUUUCUUUUGUUGUAAAAGGGUAUGAGGAAGGUGGCUUUCUUUUCGGAGAAAGUGUUUAUAGCCUUGUACCUCUGCAAUCGGAGAGAUUGAGGUCUGCAGCGUAGAUCCUUCGGGGUUAGAUACAUUUGUGCUAAGUUAUAGCUUUUCAUAGACAACUUGUUGACUAUGUUUAGUCUUGUAGCUUACUCGCUUAUGCUAUUUUACCUACGCUUAGGAUGUUGAUAGUCACAGCGUGUAC
rnacentral:rRNA from 1 species